UGGGGAAUAUUGCACAAUGGGGGAAACCCUGAUGCAGCGACGCCGCGUGAGCGAAGAAGUAUUUCGGUAUGUAAAGCUCUAUCAGCAGGGAAGAAAAUGACGGUACCUGACUAAGAAGCUCCGGCUAAAUACGUGCCAGCAGCCGCGGUAAUACGUAUGGAGCAAGCGUUAUCCGGAUUUACUGGGUGUAAAGGGAGCGUAGGCGGCGGGGCAAGUCUGAUGUGAAAACCCGGGGCUCAACCCCGGGACUGCAUUGGAAACUGUCCUGCUAGAGUGUCGGAGGGGUAAGUGGAAUUCCUAGUGUAGCGGUGAAAUGCGUAGAUAUUAGGAGGAACACCGGUGGCGAAGGCGGCUUACUGGACGACAACUGACGCUGAGGCUCGAAAGCGUGGGGAGCAAACA
rnacentral:rRNA from 1 species